rnacentral:rRNA from 1 species
AGAGUUUGAUCAUGGCUCAGAUUGAACGCUGGCGGCAUGCCUUACACAUGCAAGUCGAACGGUAACGGGCCUUCGGGUGCCGACGAGUGGCGAACGGGUGAGUAAUGCAUCGGAACGUACCUUUCAGUGGGGGAUAACGUAGCGAAAGUUACGCUAAUACCGCAUAUUCUGUGAGCAGGAAAGCAGGGGAUCGCAAGACCUUGCGCUGAUUGAGCGGCCGAUGUCAGAUUAGCUAGUUGGUGAGGUAAAGGCUCACCAAGGCGACGAUCUGUAGCGGGGUCUGAGAGGAUGAUCCGCCACACUGGAACUGAGACACGGUCCAGACUCCUACGGGAGGCAGCAGUGGGGAAUUUUGGACAAUGGGGGCAACCCUGAUCCAGCCAUGCCGCGUGAGUGAAGAAGGCCUUCGGGUUGUAAAGCUCUUUCGGCCGGGAAGAAAUCGCAUGGGUUAAUACCCUGUGCGGAUGACGGUACCGGCAUUAGAAGCACCGGCUAACUACGUG